rnacentral:rRNA from 1 species
ACGCUCAACACCUACGGGAGCAGCAGUCGGGAAUAUUGCGCAAUGGAGGAAACUCUGACGCAGUGACGCCGCGUAUAGGAAGAAGGUUUUCGGAUUGUAAACUAUUGUCGUUAGGGAAGAGAAAGGACAGUACCUAAGGAGGAAGCUCCGGCUAACUACGUGCCAGCAGCCGCGGUAAUCUGAGCGGGCUGGCAAGGC